GGGCGCUUAGCUCAGCUGGUCAGAGCGUCUCGUUUACACCGAGAAGGUCGUAGGUUCGAUCCCUACAGCGCCCACCC
rnacentral:tRNA from 1 species